CGACAACUUGAGGUGGAGGGAGGGAGGGCUACAGGAGCCAGCCCUGCCACAAAGAACCCACAGAGUCCCUCAGCAUCAAGCAGGGCUGCCCAGAGUCCCUAUCCUCUGCCAAUCCUGUGCUAGGUAUGAGGGAUACAGCCGAGAGCUGAUAGGAACCUGUCUGAUAGGAGCUCACUGUCAGCAUCUUCUAUACUCAUUCUCAUCCCUUUAAACCAACCUCUCAAGGACCCUGGAUUCUUCCACUGUCUUUCAAGACCAAGAAGCAGAAGAAUGGAUGGGACUUGAGGAUGGAAGCAGAAAGUCUGGCACUUGGAAUCUGGUUGUGUAUGAGGACCCCCAAAUCCAGAAAACCAGAGCCUCCAGGACCUUCCCCUUCAGCAAUUCCUGGCGGAUGCUUUUAGUUGCUGAGUCUCCGGCUUUGGCUCCUGGGACCUCUCCUGUGCUGGUGCCUCGCCCCCCGCCAACUCCACCCCACUAGUGGUCUCCGCUGCCACUGCCCGUGGAGCAGCCCAGUGCUGGGAUGAGAAAGGACCCGUCCCUACCGAUGGGUGAAUGGGCUUCUUGGAAGUCAAAAGGCUUGUAAUCAGGAUCUCUACUCUGGAAGUUGCUGCCAGAAUGGGGGAAUCCCAGGGACAGACUUAUCAUAGGAUGGUUGCCCUCAGCAGCCUGACCCUACCAGGUCCACUGAGAGUUCUGGAAAGCUGGAAAGCUGCAAGGGUGAAGUAGGCACUAAGAACAAGCCCUAUCCCCAGCCCCUCAUCAAGCCCCACACAUUCCAGGUAACUCUCCUAAGUGUAAAGGACGCACUAGAGUCUACCUUCCUUGGGACUGAUAAAUCUCCCUUUCUCCUGGGAAGAUGGAGGGUGGGGUGGGGUAGCUAUAAAAUGCUGAACAGGAAGGCGGGGAGGUCUGCCUAUCUGUGAGGCCACAGAAUGGGCCAUCCCAUCAGGCCAAACCCCUCUCCAUCCUCUGGCAGAGGCCCAUGUUGAGGACUCAUCAACCGGAAAUUAGUAAUCCCUCAGGGUCUCUGUCCCCCCCACCCCGCCGGCCCCCGCUCUCGUAUCUCAGCCUCAGCUCAGAACUGACUUGGCAAAGUUGAAGAGACAGUGUGCAAAGUUCUGAGUCCCACUGAGGCAGACUGGAUUCCAGUAUCUUCUGUAUGAUCUUUUGCUCCUCUCCCUCAUAGAAGGAUGGGAUUGUUUUCCUCCCCUCAGUUCAGGUGUUACUGAUACUGAAGAGGAACAAAUAAAUGGCUCCCAGUACCCCUGAGUCCCAGAGAAUUUGGUAGCCAGACCCCAGCCUUGUCUCUGAAGGAAGCCAAUUCAUGGGUGGGCAAAUAGUAGCAUAUUGCCUUCUCCUUCAAGAGGUGACAGAGUCAGCAUUACAGUGCCAGGCAGAUUAUGUAAAUGUGAAGCAACCAGCAAAAUGCAAUAGGGAGUGGUAGGGUCUGUAGCUGCACCUCAAAAGCACAUGCCUCUCCUAAAGGCAUUCCACUUCAUAUUCCUUUGCUUGGGUUU